ACUAUAUAUUACAUGGACUGCCAACUCUACGCACUAAGCCUAUAUUUUUCAAUAAACAAGUCCCGUUCACGGAGGCGUCCUUGGUUGCGUGGUAAAUUGACUUCCGGUAGAUUUUUUUUUUACGUAUAAAGAAACCAUUCUCGAAGAUUUUUACCACCACUUUUACAGCAAAUCAUGAAUGGAAACUGAAUUGUUAAAGAAGAUGUUACAGAGGAGCAUACUACUUCCACAAACCUGAUUUGAUUGUCACUAACUUUCAAAUUGAAAGGGAUCUACUACAACUGCUCAUGAAUUUCGAGAUUUUACAGCUAAUAGAGGAACAAAUUUUAUCUGCUUCCACUUAGCCAAACAGCAUGUAAAUAUGCUAUUGUAAUGAGUAGAAGAUAUUUGUCAUUUAGAGUAUCAUGCAACAGCUAAUUAUCAGUCCACACAUUUCAAGAUGAGGAAAAGAACAGUAUAAGCUACAUUCAUUGAUGCAUUAUUUAUACAAAAAUGUAUAGUCAACCCAGUCAUCACUCCAUUUUUUUAUGAAGCCAGUUACAGUUACCAUGAAGGGAUGAAAUUUCAGAUAAUAUUUUGUUUAUUUCAUGAAAUGAGAAUAGGCCUACAUCAGAAAUUGAGAUGGUCAUCUUCAGUAUUUAAUGUUUCAUCUAAAAAUGAUAAUUAUAUUAAUACAUAUUUGAUGUACAAACAAAUGAAAACCAUUCAAACACUUUUUUUUUGUGAAGUAUAGAUGAUUAAACUUGUAAGUGUCUGAACAAUA